rnacentral:lncRNA from 12 species
UAUCAAAUAUAUUUCAUUUAUUCACAUUUCCCUAAUUAUUUCAUAAAUGCUUUUUGUUUUACAGCUUUUUGUUUGAAUCAGGACCAUAAUGAAGGCAUCCAUUGCAGCAGGUUGAAAAUGGCUCUUAGGAAUGCCUGGGUGGCUCAGCUAUUGAGCAUCUGCCUUUGGCUCAGGGCGUGAUCCCAGAGUCCUGGGAUCAAGUCCCAAAUUGAGCUUCCUGCAUGGAGCCUGCUUCUCCCUCCGCCUGUGUCUCUGCUUCUCUCUCUCUCUCUCUCUCUCUCUCUUUCCCUCUGUGUGUGUGUGUAUGUGUGUGUAUUGUCUCCCAUGAAUAAAUAAGUAAAAUCUUAAAAAAAAAAAAAAAUGGCCCUAAGUUCUCUUUUACCUUACCUCUCUAUUUCUUUUAUUCCCCUUUGCAAUUUUUUAUCACCCUUUGCAAUUUAUCUUUUGACACAACCACAUCAUUUACCCUAUACAUUUUCCCAGUCUAGAGUUAGCUGCCUGUAUCCCUGUCCUGUCCUUUAAUGUAUUUAUCUAUCCCUGUGUUUCCAAUAAACUGGUAGCUAAAUCCAGAGGCUUGCAUGAUUUAGAUUUGCAUCCUGACAAGGACCAUGGGAUGACACCACUUCAUGGCAAUGUUUCCAUUAUCACUUUCAUUUCCAAGAGUCAGAGUUUGAGAUGAGUGCAUAUUUUGGAAAGGAUGAAUGUAUUUUUUCUCUCCUUUCCCACUUAACACAUUCUUGAUUCUUAGGGACUUGGGUUUUCUCCAUAAUUGUAGGACUAAACUAAAAUUUUGGAUAUAUUUUUCCUCCCAGAGGACAUUAACAAGAUUAAAUUUAUGAGUUUAUUUCCACGAAGUCAGAAUUUCUAAAUCCAAGACCCUCCAAUCAAGUAGACACUGUCCCAACAAUGGGCAGGACACCCAUGUGCCUGGAUGCUGUGAAGCCCUCCUGGACAGAGACUGUCUCUUUUCUCCCUGAUGCCCCAAUCUCUCUCAGCCUCCAUGGGAGAAACACUGCUGAGAAGGCCUUUUGCUAUUACCUCUCUUCUGCUAUAGUUCUGGAUGCACAUGUUGAUGUGGAAGUGUUCUAUGAUCGAAGAGACCUGGAUUGUUCAGCCAACUCACAGAGGACAGCGGUCCGGAAGAUUGUCUGUACUCCUUGGGUGUUUUACAUAAGGGAGAAAUAAACUCUGUGUUAACCCACUGAAAUUUGUCCAUUACUGCAACAUUGCCCUGCCUAGCCUGACUAAUACAUGUGCUUGAUUGCGGAUCUCAAAACAUUGUGCAGGUAUAAAUUCUGUGUAUGUGUGUGGUAUGUGUAUGUGUAUGUGUUUGAGAAAUAGAGUUGGUUAGCUAGCUAGAUGAUAGAAUUGACUAUGGUGAGGGUUUGAUUAUAGAAUAAGAGGCAAAUUUCUUAAUGCUUGAGUUCUGCCAGUCAGAACUUUUAGCUGUAGGUUGCACAAAUGAAUGUUUAAGUAUAUUUAAACAAAUAUGUGGUUUGCAUAAGUGUUUAUUUAUACACAGUAUAAAACGUACUCUCUCAUCUUUGUGCUUUGGUAUAUAAAUGUAUUAUGGUCACUCAGAGUUGCUUCUAUAAUCCACAAAUUGCAUAUAUUGUAUAUAUUAAACUUGAACUAAGUAGUCAAUUAAAAGCUCAAAGCAAUACUGUAUCUUUCAGAUACAUUCCAAAUUAACUACUGAAUCACAGGUAAUGCGUGUUGCACAUUCAUACCAAUAGCAUAAGCAAAGUCCAGAGCUAGACUUAGUUUUUCUUAUUUCCUGAAGUUUCUUGAUUACAGUCUGAUCCUUCAUGUUGUUCCAACAUAGAGUGAUUUUAAAGGAGAAUUUAAUUUAAUAUAAGUCUGAAUAGCCUUCGGAAUGUUAGAA